AAUAAGAUUAUUUUUCAGUUUUUUGAUACAAUAUAUUGACUCUUCGUCUUAUUUGAAAAAAAUUUUGAUUAAUAUUUUUAUUCUUACUAGAUGAUAACAUGAAUAAUACUUUAUGUGUGAUUAAUUUUUUUAAGUUUUUGCAUAAAUUUUUUUUAAAUAAGACGAAUGGUCAAACGUUGGAUACAGAAAA
rnacentral:pre_miRNA from 1 species